rnacentral:ncRNA from 2 species
CAAGUUGGAAUGGUGUUUAAAUAUUCCCAACAGGACAAGGGAGAACUUACCCUUACAGAAUAUGAUGGUAAAUGUAUCUGCAUCAUAAUUCUGACCCUAGUU